UACGAGGGGGCAAGCGUUGUUCGGAUUUAUUGGGCGUAAAGGGUGCGUAGGCGGUUUGGCAAGUCUUGUGUGAAAUCUUUGGGCUCAACCCAAAGCCUGCACAAGAAACUGCCGGGCUUGAGUAUGGGAGAGGUGAGUGGAAUUUCCGGUGUAGCGGUGAAAUGCGUAGAUAAUCGGAAGGAACACCUGUGGCGAAAGCGGCUCACUGGACCAUUACUGACGCUGAGGCACGAAAGCUAGGGGAGCAAACAGG
rnacentral:rRNA from 1 species